GGUGGGGAUGACGUCAAGUCCUCAUGCCCUUUAUGUCCAGGGCUACACACGUGCUACAAUGGCCGGUACAAACCGCUGCAAACCCGCGAGGGUGAGCCAAUCGGAGAAAGCCGGCCUCAGUUCGGAUUGCAGUCUGCAACUCGACUGCAUGAAGCUGGAAUCGCUAGUAAUCGCGGAUCAGCAUGCCGCGGUGAAUACGUUCCCGGGCCUUGUACACACCGCCCGUCACAUCACGAAAGUGGGUUGUACUAGAAGCAGGUGAGCUAACCGCAAGGAAGCAGCCUUCCAAGGUGUGAUUCAUGAUUGGGGUGAAGUCGUAACAAGGUAGCCGUAA
rnacentral:rRNA from 1 species